UGGGGAAUAUUGCACAAUGGGCGCAAGCCUGAUGCAGCCAUGCCGCGUGUAUGAAGAAGGCCUUCGGGUUGUAAAGUACUUUCAGCGGGGAGGAAGGCGAUAAGGUUAAUAACCUUGUCGAUUGACGUUACCCGCAGAAGAAGCACCGGCUAACUACGUGCCAGCAGCCGCGGUAAUACGGAGGGUGCAAGCGUUAAUCGGAAUUACUGGGCGUAAAGCGCACGCAGGCGGUCUGUCAAGUCGGAUGUGAAAUCCCCGGGCUCAACCUGGGAACUGCAUUCGAAACUGGCAGGCUAGAGUCUUGUAGAGGGGGGUAGAAUUCCAGGUGUAGCGGUGAAAUGCGUAGAGAUCUGGAGGAAUACCGGUGGCGAAGGCGGCCCCCUGGACAAAGACUGACGCUCAGGUGCGAAAGCGUGGGGAGCAAACA
rnacentral:rRNA from 1 species